AUGAACGCUGGCGGCGUGCCUAAUACAUGCAAGUCGAGCGAACAGACGAGGAGCUUGCUCCUUUGACGUUAGCGGCGGACGGGUGAGUAACACGUGGAUAACCUACCUAUAAGACUGGGAUAACUUCGGGAAACCGGAGCUAAUACCGGAUAACAUGUUGAACCGCAUGGUUCAACAGUGAAAGACGGUCUUGCUGUCACUUAUAGAUGGAUCCGCGCCGCAUUAGCUAGUUGGUAAGGUAACGGCUUACCAAGGCAACGAUGCGUAGCCGACCUGAGAGGGUGAUCGGCCACACUGGAACUGAGACACGGUCCAGACUCCUGCGGGAGGCAGCAGUAGGGAAUCUUCCGCAAUGGGCGAAAGCCUGACGGAGCAACGCCGCGUGAGUGAAGAAGGUCUUCGGAUCGUAAAACUCUGUUAUUAGGGAAGAACAAAUGUGUAAGUAACUAUGCACGUCUUGACGGUACCUAAUCAGAAAGCCACGGCUAACUACGUG
rnacentral:rRNA from 1 species